rnacentral:rRNA from 1 species
GUGUUCCCCUCAGAUUUGAUAAUAUUGGAAUCACAAGGUUUGGAUGUAAUUCUGGGUAUGGAUUGGUUGUCGAUGUAUGGAGGAAACACCGAUUGCGCCAGUAAGUCGAUCUUGCUUACCACCCCAGAAGGGAGAAGGAUCAAGUAUGUAUCCCGGCAUGUGCCGAAGAGGACUCAAGUAAAUUGUUUAACAGGAGUUGUGCAGGAGGAAGUACCCGUAGUGAAGGAUUUCCCCGAUGUAUUUCCAGAAGAAUUGCUAGGCAUGCCACCGGAUAGAGAUAUUGAGUUUUUGAUUGAGCUUUUGCCAGGCACAGGGCCAAUAUCAAAGAGACCAUAUAGAAUGCCUGCAAAGGAUUUGGUGGAGAUUAAGAAGCAAAUUAAGGAGUUACCGGAUAAAGGAUACAUUCGCCCAAGUUCAUCGCCUUGGGGAUCGCCAGUACUUCUAAUGGAAAAG